rnacentral:rRNA from 1 species
UACGGAGGAUCCAAGCGUUGUCCGGAUUUAUUGGGUUUAAAGGGUGCGUAGGCGGACUAUUAAGUCAGAGGUGAAAGCCGGUAGCUUAACUAUCGAAUUGCCUUUGAAACUGGUAGUCUUGAAUUCUGUUGAGGUGGGCGGAAUGUAUCAUGUAGCGGUGAAAUGCUUAGAUAUGAUACAGAACACCGAUUGCGAAGGCAGCUCACUAAGCAGAUAUUGACGCUGAGGCACGAAAGCGUGGGGAUCAAACAGG